GCAUCAAAGAGUGCAGAACAGUACUCUACUCUCAGCCAGUCUUGUCUCUUUGUUCCAAGGUUACCGCAGGAUGCAGUUCAUGCCCAGACCUGAUGGCAGAGCUGAGAAUGGAAAGCGGUGACCUGACAAGUGCUAAGAGGAUAGAGCUGGAUAAAGGACGCGACAACUUUGUUUUUCCUACAACAUUUCAAAUGCUAUUAGAUUGUUAAUGAUAAUCUUUAAUCCUUAAUUUUUAUAUUUUUACUAAGCCUUGUUGUGCAAGCACUGUUGAGCUUGUGCAGAGGCAGCAGCUUUUGCCAGAGGGGAACUGGAAUCCCCUGGUUGGGCCUGGGUUCCCCUGAGGUUUUUUUUCUCGAUGGGAGUUUUGGGUUCCUCACCACCGUUUGCAUAUUGUUUUGCACUAUCUGCCUGGCCGGGGGGGCUGCUUUAGAAUUCAUACUUGUAUUAAAUGUGUCUCAUGUACAGCUGCUUUGUAACAAUGAAAAUUGUAAAAAGCGCUAUAUAAAUAAAGUUGAGUUGAGUUGAGUUGAGUUAUCCGACCCUCUCAGAUAUAAUGUUUUCUCCUGUUUACUUAAGUUUUGCUUCUACCCCUAUUUUUAUCUUACUUUGAAUUAUCACGUGUUUGAAUUUUGUUUCUCCUAGACGUUGUCCUAAAUUUUAGUUUUUGAAUUCCUACUUUGUAAAUAGAAUGUUACUAAUUGUUUGAAAUUAAAAUUUUUUUGUCUUUUAUGUUGAGGCUCAUGAGCCAGCCGUAACACGUACAACCAGGUUAAGGUAGCUGAGGCAGAUAAGGCAAAGACUGCUUUUUGUACCCCUUUUGGGUUGUUUGAGUUUAAUCGUAUGCACCAGGGACAUUCCAGAAACUCAUGGAACGGCUGUUUGGGGGAAAAAGGGGUUCCCCUCGUUGCCUUUGUAUUUGGACGAUAUAAUUAUUCCUCCUCUUCUGUACAGGGAAAUUUUUCGUGGUUAGAGGAGGUUUUUAAGUGACUGGAGAAGGAAGGUCUGAGGAUUAUCUGAGCAAAUGUAAUUUUUCAGAAGCAAGUUAAGUAUUUGGGACAUCUGGUGUUUGAGCAGGGUGUUUCAACUGACCAUGAUAAAGUGGCAGCAGUAAAAGACUGGAAUUAGAAUUUGGCAGAAUUUUUUUAGGUUUGCCAGCUAUUAUCGUCACUUUAUCGAUGGAUUUGCAAAGCUGGCUAAACCUCUUCAUGGCUUGGUAACAAGACUAGCAUGCUUUAACAAAAGAGUAAGACCCCAUGGUUACCUUUAGCUUCAGUAUGGGCUAUUUUUAGAUUAGAUUAGAUUCAACUUUAUUGUCAUUACACAUAUACAGGUACAGUGUAACGAAAUGUAGUUUAGGUCUAACCAGAAGUGCAAUUAGCAAGUGCAGAUAUACAGUGUGAAUAAAUACAGAAUACAAUAUUAGGAAAAUACUAUACAAUGGGCAUGUACUAUGAAAAUAUGACAAUCGGUAUGUACUAUGAACAAUAUAUACAGAAGGCUAUAUACUGUGAACAUUAAUGUACAGGAGGUUAUGAACAGAUAACAAUAUAGACUAUACAAUAGUGCAAUAUAGAGUGUGAGACUAGUUUCCAAACCCUGAAGACAAAGUUGGUUAAAGCACCUAUCUUUGCUUAUGCAGAUUUCAAGAAGCCUUUCGUUUUGGAGAUAGAUGCAAGUCAUCAGGGUGUUGGGGUAGUUUUGUCCUGGGAGCAGGAUGGUAAGGGACGUCCCAUUGCAUAUGCCAGUAGGGGUCUGCUUAGGACAGAGCGGAAUAUGGAGAAUUAUAGCUACAUGAAAUUGGAGUGUUUAGCCCUAAAGUGGGCAUGUUUAUGAUAAGUUUAGGGAAUCUUUGGUUGAAAAUGAGCUCUGUCACCUGCAGACCUGAAAGCUCUGUGCUCUGGAACAGCGCUGGUUAUCACCGUGGUCUUCUUUAAAUUUUGUGAUUAAGUUACCGCCCAAGGGGAACUAAUCUAAAUGCUGAUGCAUUCUCUUGACCGGCCAUGAAUGAUGUGUUCUCAUGAACAGAGGUUCUGCAAGUUUUACAGCAGCAGUCGAGGGGGGGGUCUCCAGAAUGUAUAGUGGUGAGUCCCAGAGAGUUCGAUGCAUUGACUGGAUGUUCAAAGUUAGAUUUAACUUGUUUGCAGAAGCCGAACCCAGUUAUGGACCCUUUUAUAAAUGAUUGGUCAACAGGUAUUGUCUUAUGCUCUUCGGAGUUGGCUGGUAGGGAUUAAGUGGUAAAAGAGCUGGCGAAGCAGUGAGACAGUCUGCAUGAGAGGUAGGGAUGCCUCUGUUGUUUAGCGUAUAAACAAGAUGAAAAAAAUCUAUCAGUUGUUGUUGCCUCAAAAACUUCAAAAGGAGGUGUUUUGUCAUUUGCAUGACAGUCAAGGGCAUCAAGGGAAAGAUAAAACUAAAAUUAUUCAAGUGUCAUUGUUAUUGCCCAGGAAUGGUGAGAGAUGUGAAACGUUGGUGUUAGGAAUGUCAGCUUUGCAUCCUCGCUAAGGCAGUUCAACCAAAGGUUAGGUCAUUUAUGGGAAGCUACAGGCAUCCUCCGGGCCUCACAAGAUUUUGGCCAUGGAUUUUAUGGUGUUGGAGCUUGUGUAAAAAAGGACAGUGACGAGCUCUGCGUUUUACCCAAAGAUAAAAAGUAAAAAAUGAUAAAAGACAGGGCAAAAGAACUUGUGAAAUAUCAUUAUGAUACAAAGUGCAUCAAAAUGCAGUGUCAUUAGUUUGUCUAAAAGAAUACAGAAUGUUAUGUCUGGUUUUACACACUAUUUACACGUAGUAUGGAGCAGGUGUACAUUUCUUUCGUACCAACUAGCAUUUUGAAAUUACAAUAACGAGAAUUGACAUUAAAACGACAUUACGAAUGAUUUACACAAAAAAUCGUUCUGCUCAUGUUUCAUGAAUGAGGCCCAUUGAUACUUUUAUUUCCAAUGCUUCACAGAUUUUCUGAAGGGCUCAACACCCUUUGUCCAAUAUUUUAAAGCAAGUCUUUUUUUCAUCACAGAGGACAUUGAGGGCUGAAGACCUGAUAUUCUUGUUUAAAGCUGAGUUAUUAUCUUCCUGGAAGCAACAGGUGGCGAUUGAGUUGAAGGGUAUUUGAGAGAUUUUCUUGCGGAGUCUGUGAAGGCUGCAGACCCUUGAUAGGAGCAUCAAGUGGGCAAGAGGGAGGAUUCUCCAAUUGGAUGAUGCCGACCAACUUCUUCUUUGUCAACUGGGGAAGGUACCUCAGGGCAUCAAGCCCCACUGAUCCAGACAAGUUAUUUUGUACGGUCCAGCUACAUAAUAACUGAAGAGCAUCUGAAAUUCCUGCAUUCAUGUGGUUUUGGAGCCAAGAUGUUCCGACCAGAGACAUUAUUCUUCUCCUUGGAAACAAAGGAUGUUUCUAAGAACAGUGCUGAACUUAAACCAAAUUGGCGCCCCUUCCUGAAACAACGCACACACUUCUGAUCAAAGAAAAGACAGAGAACUUUUCUCAGUACAGUGGGAGACAUGAACCAAAAGGACACCUUCCUUUGAUAAUCAACGGACUUUCUCCAGUACAGCAAACUCCCUACUGAGAUAAGAUCUACAUCUCAACGACGCAUACCCGUGAAUCACAAAUGCACAGCUCACCCUGCACCCCCAACUGUUCCUUUCGGUUCGGUUCAUUUGCAGAUGGGCUCUGGGCUCAACUGUUUUUCCUAUCCUGGGUAGCCCGGAUGUUACCAUGUGAAUAUUUAACUUGAAUUUUUCGAUCUGAAUUUGAGCAGUCGAAUUAGACAUAUGUUUUCUUUGAAAAGUAUUGACUUGAAAUUUGAGAUCUGAAUAAGAGCAAUCAAAUUUGAUCAAUCUGAAUGUUGUAUCUGAAAUUCUGUAAGUUGUUUUUUUUGUAUCUGAAUUUGUGAGCAUUAAAUUCAGGUUUUUAAAUUGGAAAUCAUGAAUUUUCAUAUUUAAAUUUCAUAGAGGUAAAUUCGAAACAAAUAAAUUCAGAUACAUGGUUUCCAAAGUAAAAUAAUUCAAAAUCAAGUAUUCAUAGGCUGUUAAAUUUCAAAACAUUAUGUCUCUUAUUUGCUUCCAUACAUGGCAUGCUUAUAUAAAGCUACAAUUAGAGAAGGUAAGAUUGGUCUAUCUAUCGCUGUGGAGUGGUCAUGACCUCUGGUUGAAAAUAAUUGUUGCUUGUGAUUAGGUUUUAAUAAUCUAGGUUACCAUGCAUCGUGAGAUAUGGUGAACUGCUGUACCACAGUCACUGUUCUCAUCACAGUUAAAUACUCUCCAGGAUGAGACAUAGAAGGCAUAAGAUGUCAAAAGAGUGAAUAUGGAGAACAAUAAGGCUAUUCUGUGUAAAACAGGGGAAGGUAACAUCAUUUUUUAGCCUGUUACCAUGCAUCGUGAGAUAUGGUGACCUGCUGCAGGACUAUUGUGCAGGUUACUCUGUACAUUAUAAACAUAUCAUUUCAUAAUAUUAUGUUCUUAUGACAUUUUAUAGCCUAUAAUGCAUGUAUGUAUAACACAAAGCUCAUUUAUGUUCAUGUUUCUUAAAUGGACAAUGUUUAGAAUUGUCGUGAUUGCGGUUCUAUUAUUAGGGUAAAAGUGAAAACACACUCACACACACAUACACACCUACAUAUUGGCUAUAAAUCAAUUACCAUGGCAAUCACAAUAAUUCCAAACGCAAUCAGUAUACAAAUUAAAUUAACCUGCUUUGUACAGUUCAGCACUCUCAACAGACUUUCCGAAAAGCCCCCUCACAGUAGAGUGCAGGAGAACAAAGCACGUUAUUGCGCAAGAUUCAAAAGCUGCGCACGAGCACAAGGUGACAACAGACUGUACAUUCUGAAGAGUACUGUUAUCAGCCCUGUGGUGGAAAAUGUAACAAUUUGCCAUUUAUAAAAUUUUGAUCUUAUAACAUUAACUACAAUAUAUCUGUAUAUUGCAAAUGAACAAAAAGUAAAAUGUUCUCAUUUAAAAUUCUAGAAAUUUCUGUAGCACAGAGGAAGUGGGAAGUAGCAAUGAUGGGUCACUACCUCUGGAGCUUGGUUUGUGAGGACAGUAUUAGCCAUAAAAGACCAAAAAUGUAGAUUAUAAAAAAAGAUCAAUUGUACACCGCCGAAGUUUUGGAUGACUCAUUUUAGUAACUAUCUUGUUUAACUGUU